rnacentral:rRNA from 1 species
CCUACGGGAGGCAGCAGUGAGGAAUAUUGGUCAAUGGACGAGAGCCUGAACCAGCCAAGUAGCGUGAAGGAUGACUGCCCUACGGGUUGUAAACUUCUUUUAUAAGGGAAUAAAGUGCAGCACGUAUACCGUUUUGUAUGUACUUUAUGAAUAAGGAUCGGCUAACUCCGUGCCAGCAGCCGCGGUAAUACGGAGGAUCCGAGCGUUAUCCGGAUUUAUUGGGUUUAAAGGGAGCGUAGAAGGAGUGUUAAGUCAGUUGUGAAAGUUUGCGGCUCAACCGUAAAAUUGCAGUUGAUACUGGCAGUCUUGAGUGCAGGAGAGGUAGGCGGAAUUCGUGGUGUAGCGGUGAAAUGCUUAGAUAUCACGAAGAACUCCGAUUGCGAAGGCAGCUUACUGAACUGUAACUGACGCUGAUGCUCGAAAGUGUGGGUAUCAAACAGGAUUAGAUACCCGAGUAGUC